AGGUGGACGAGGAGGACGAGGAUUUGUGCUCGUAUUUGACAACGGUGAUACCUUAUCACAUGGACAGUGGCCCACCUGAUAAUCAAGCUUUACAAGUCCUCAUUAAGAUAUUAAAGGCUAUUAAUGAGGAUAGUCCAACGGUGCCCACAUUAUUAACGGACUACAUAUUGAAAGUUCUGUGCCCCACCUAGUGAUCCACUAGUACAUAUCCUCCGACGUGACAUCGCUGUGCU